rnacentral:rRNA from 1 species
AUUGAACGCUGGCGGCAGGCCUAACACAUGCAAGUCGAGCGAGCGGCGGACGGGUGAGUAAUGUCUGGGCACCUGCCUGAUGGAGGGGGAUAACUACUGUAAACGGUAGCUAAUACCGCAUACCCUCUGAUGUACCCAGAUGGGAUAAGUUAGUUGGUGAGGUAACGGCUCACCUAGGCGACGCUCCCUAGCUGGUCUGAGAGGAUGACAAGCCACACUGGAACUGAGAAACGGCCCAGACUACGCCGGGAGGCAGGAGUGGGGAAUAUUGCGCAAUGGGGGCAAGCCUGACGUAGCCAUGCCGCGUGAAUGAAGAAGGCAUGAGGGUUGUAAAGUUCUUUCAGUUGGGAGGCGUUAUCAGCAGAAGAAGCACCGGCUAACUCCGUGCCAGCAGCCGCGGUAAUAC